GCUGGGCGUGGUGACGCACGCCUGUAGUCCCAGCUGCUUGGGAGGCUGAGGCAGAAGAAUUGCUUGAACCCAGGAGGUGGUGGUUGCAGUGAGCCAAGAUUGCACCACUGCACUCCAGCCUGGGUGACAGAGUGAGACUCCGUCUCAA
ensembl:misc_RNA Metazoa_SRP Metazoan signal recognition particle RNA